GAAAUAAAAAAUGGGUAAAUGCAUGAACAAACUGCGUUUUGGACUGUAGACAAUGCGUCUUCGUUGGCAACAUAUAAUUGGCUUAGUUGGCAUUUGACAAAAAAGGUCACUUCCUUCCAACUUCCAAACACCAAUAAUUUUUCAUAUUUUCCAACUUAUUUUUAUUAUUCUAUGGGGAUGAGUAUUUUAUUCUUUUGUUUCCUUCCAAUUAAUAAAACGUUUUCACCAACCACAACAUGUCCAAACCCACA
rnacentral:lncRNA from 1 species